GACGAGCGCUGGCGGCGUGCUUAACACAUGCAAGUCGAACGGAAAGGCCCUGCUUUUGUGGGGUGCUCGAGUGGCGAACGGGUGAGUAACACGUGAGUAACCUGCCCUUGACUUUGGGAUAACUUCAGGAAACUGGGGCUAAUACCGGAUAGGAGCUCCUGCUGCAUGGUGGGGGUUGGAAAGUUUCGGCGGUUGGGGAUGGACUCGCGGCUUAUCAGCUUGUUGGUGGGGUAGUGGCUUACCAAGGCUUUGACGGGUAGCCGGCCUGAGAGGGUGACCGGCCACAUUGGGACUGAGAUACGGCCCAGACUCCUACGGGAGGCAGCAGUGGGGAAUAUUGCACAAUGGGCGGAAGCCUGAUGCAGCAACGCCGCGUGCGGGAUGACGGCCUUCGGGCUGUAAACCGCUUUCGCCUGUGACGAAGCGUGAGUGACGGUAAUGGGUAAAGAAGCACCGGCUAACUACGUG
rnacentral:rRNA from 1 species